rnacentral:piRNA from 1 species
UAGGAACAUCGGUCUAAGCAGUUCUGUGG